rfam:Zygosaccharomyces rouxii strain CBS732 chromosome G complete sequence.
GGGCGUGUGGUCUAGUGGUAUGAUUCUCGCUUUGGGUGCGAGAGGCCCUGGGUUCAAUUCCCAGUAUGCCCC